ACCUCAGCCUCCUGAGUAGCUUGGGAACACAGAUAUAGAAACCAAAGCUGAGAGCGGGAGAUAACUAUCCCAAAAGCACCACGUCGGUGGGGAGCCGGGUUGCCAGAGAAAACACAGGACAUCCAGUGAAGUCAGGUGCCUCCUGACCCAGCAGACCCCCAUGAGCCCAGAUCCCUGAGACCUGGUGGCUGCCAUUAUGACAUUCCCCGACUGCAUCUUAGGACCCAAGUCUGACCCCCUGCAGGAUCUGCAGCUGUGUUACAGGAAAGGGGACCCGAUCCAGACCCCAAGGGAGGGUUCUUGAAUCUCGUGCAAGAAACAACUCGGGAUGCAGUUGCUGUGGUUCACACACCUCUGGCAGCUGGGCUCCUUGGGAUCUCCUGACAUUCUGU